GGCUGGUUAGCUCAGUUGGUUGAGCAUGGUGCUGAUAACACCAAGGUCGCUGGUUCGAUUCCUGUUCUGUCCC
rnacentral:tRNA from 1 species